GUGCCCCUGACCCACUCAAAAUACCCUUUUUUUGAGGUAAAUUCAGAAGUCUGGGGCCUUCUUCUUCCCUGGGGUGUUUUCCUGCGGGGCUUGUAAAAGCCGAAGUGUAAAUAAUAUCCUUAAUGCGCUUAAAUUAAUCCUUUAGGCUUAGUUUUUCCACACUUAAGUCCCCCACAGCAGACACAGGGGUCAGUUCUCAGCUCACCGUAAAAAGAUUUAAAACAACUUAAAUCCGUAGAACUUGAUGCCAGUCUACAUGUCCACAGGAAUGUGUUAUGUUUUUAACUGAUUUUAUUUAAGGUUUCAUAAUAAAUACUUCUGCAGGUUUUCCCAGCUGGGAACACCGAAGUCAAACAGCUCUGCAGAGGAGAAUUUACAUUUUUCACCUCUGUUUUUACACGGAUGGUUCAAAAUCAGCACACUUGGUUAUUUCUGGAGAUUACAGGAGAGCUGCAUUCCAUUUUCACAGCAGAAUGCAGAUUUUUUUUUUUUUUCCCCAACUUUUGCCUAUUUGUGGCACUUUUGAAGUGCUGCCUCGGCCUGCCCCCAGCCACGGACCCCCCAGCUCUCAGGACAAUUUUGGGAUGCUCCACAUCACUUCACCCCAACCAAACCCAAAAAAAGCACAUUCAAGAAGACAAACCAAUCCCAGAAAAACAAUCUUGGGGGUGGAGGGGGGAAAUAACUGCUUAAAUUGGGUUUUUCUCCCCCCAUUUUGAGGUGAUGCUCAGAAAUAAACCUCAGCAGGUGAAGAUCUCCCCGAAGAAA
rnacentral:lncRNA from 1 species